CGCGCUCCCAUUCGCUGGGGCCCCUGUCGCCUCCACGUGCGAACUAGAGAAAGGAUGCUAUCACUGGAAGGUGGUGACUCAUAUGGGAACUUACCCAACGUUCCGGCGCUGACCACACCAUUUUUGUCGAGUCCAACCUGUUCUCUUCUUCAGCGGAAACACCUAAGAAAAGGUAGCCCCAUUAAAGAGCUGCAGCGAACAGCUUCAUGUUAUCAGGAAGACGAUGUUUUAUCUCAGAAGGGCACGUCAUCAAACGCCAGUGGACAAAUCUCACCCCAGUCCCACCUGCUGACCUUCGACCUGGCAUGACGUGUUCGCCUCUUUGAAAGUUCGGAGUGCAUUUCGGGCUUCUUGGGGUGUCACCACACGUGGUUCUUC